rnacentral:rRNA from 1 species
CCUACGGGCGGCAGCAGUGAGGAAUAUUGGUCAAUGGCCGAGAGGCUGAACCAGCCAAGUCGCGUGAGGGAAGAAUGUCCAACGGAUUGUAAACCUCUUUUGUCAGGGAGCAAAGUCACCCACGUGUGGGCGUUGGAGGGUACCUGAAGAAAAAGCAUCGGCUAACUCCGUGCCAGCAGCCGCGGUAAUACGGAGGAUGCGAGCGUUAUCCGGAUUUAUUGGGUUUAAAGGGUGCGCAGGCGGGUUAUCAAGUCAGCGGUAAAAGCGUGGAGCUCAACUCCAUCGAGCCGUUGAAACUGACGAUCUGGAGUGGGCGAGAAGUACGCGGAAUGCGUGGUGUAGCGGUGAAAUGCUUAGAUAUCACGCAGAACCCCGAUUGCGAAGGCAGCAUACCGGCGCCCGACUGACGCUGAGGCACGAAAGCGUGGGUAUCGAACAGGAUUAGAUACCCGUGUAGUC